rnacentral:rRNA from 1 species
GACGAACGCUGGCGGCGUGCUUAACACAUGCAAGUCGAACGGAAAGGCCCUGCUUUUGUGGGGUGCUCGAGUGGCGAACGGGUGAGUAACACGUGAGUAACCUGCCCUUGACUUUGGGAUAACUUCAGGAAACUGGGGCUAAUACCGGAUAGGAGCUCCUGCUGCAUGGUGGGGGUUGGAAAGUUUCGGCGGUUGGGGAUGGACUCGCGGCUUAUCAGCUUGUUGGUGGGGUAGUGGCUUACCAAGGCUUGGACGGGUAGCCGGCCUGAGAGGGUGACCGGCCACAUUGGGACUGAGGUACGGCCCAGACUGCAACGGGAGGCAGCAGUGGGGAAUAUUGCACAAUGGGCGGAAGCCUGAUGCAGCAGCGCCGCGUGCGGGAUGACGGCCUUCGGGUUGUAAAACGCUUUCGCCUGUGACGAAGCGUGAGUGACGGUAAUGGGUAAAGAAGCACCGGCUAACUACGUG